CUGCCCGGCCGGGCCCGCACCGCGCUGCCGUUGGGCGCUGCGUGUGUUUGGAGCGGCCUGCAGCGAGAUGGAGAGCAGCGUGGUGGUGGUGGUUGCACAAUAAAGGUUUUUUUCCAGUAGCUUUUUGCCCAGGACUCGCUUAUUGAGUGUUUUAGCUUUAUAGCGUGCCUUUGUGUGCGUGUCAGCCUUUGGUUUUGGGCUCAAGAGGGACCAAAGCCUGCUCUUAGAACUGUGCUUAUCCAUGAUGCCUUCAUCCUGAUGUUGUUGUGAUCUUGUAUUUUUGUUAACUUGUUACUUGUAACAAAGCUAACUUUAUUUUGGUUACAGCAACCUCGUUUCUGACUGUUCUGCUAACUCUGUAUGUAACCAGCAGGGCGGUACUGCUGUGCUUGCUUCUGUGAAGUUCUAUUAUAAUUUGGAAGUCAACUUACCAGCCUGCGAAGUAACUGCCUGCUGCCUCAGCCUUUCUGUCCUCAGUGUCAGUAAAUCAACAUCAGUGCCUUCAGCUUUUGCUUCUACCACAAGUUCAGGUGGGAAUCUCUGUCUUCCUUUAAUGUCCUGA
rnacentral:lncRNA from 1 species